rnacentral:lncRNA from 1 species
CCACCCUGAACUUCAUUCCAACUAGUAUUAUGAUUAUCCCAAUGUCCAUUUGACACAACUCCAUUCCUAGACUGUGAGUGGGAGAGUUUUGCAAAGGCAGACUGAUUAUUGUUCAUUUGCAGCUGAUCAGCUAUCCUUGAAGAAAUGCCGUAAGAUUCAGGGGCAGUAGAAAAGCUACCCCCAAGUUCAGCAGCAUACCGUAGGUUCUGUUGUUGCUGUUGCUGUUGCUGUUGCUGUUGCUGAGAUCUCUGCAUGAGUAGUU